rnacentral:rRNA from 1 species
CUCGUAGGCGGUUCAACAAGUCGGUCGUGAAAGCCCGGGGCUCAACCCCGGGACGCCGGUCGGAACUGUUGUGACUAGGGUCCGGUAGAGGUGAGUGGAAUUCUCGGUGUAGCGGUGGAAUGCGCAGAUAUCGAGAGGAACACCAGUAGCGAAGGCGGCUCACUGGGCCGGUACCGACGCUGAGGAGCGAAAGCAUGGGGAGCAAACA